rnacentral:rRNA from 1 species
CGCGGCCUAUCAGCUUGUUGGUGGGGUAAUGGCCUACCAAGGCGACGACGGGUAGCCGGCCUGAGAGGGCGACCGGCCACACUGGGACUGAGACACGGCCCGGACUCCUACGGGAGGCAGCAGUGGGGAAUAUUGCACAAUGGGCGAAAGCCUGAUGCAGCGACGCCGCGUGAGGGAUGACGGCCUUCGGGUUGUAAACCUCUUUCAGCAGGGACGAAGCGUAAGUGACGGUACCUGCAGAAGAAGCGCAGGCCGACUACGUGCCAGCAGCCGCGGUAAGACGUAGGGCGCGAGCGUUGUCCGGAUUUAUUGGGCGUAAAGAGCUCGUAGGCGGCUUGUCGCGUCGACUGUGAAAACCCGCAGCUCAACUGCGGGCCUGCAGUCGAUACGGGCAGGCUAGAGUUCGGUAGGGGAGACUGGAAUUCCUGGUGUAGCGGUGGAAUGCGCAGAUAUCAGGAGGAACACCGGUGGCGAAGGCGGGUCUCUGGGCCGAUACUGACGCUGAGGAGCGAAAGCGUGGGGGGCGAACAGGAUUAGAUACCCUGGUAGUCCACGCUGUAAACGUUGGGCGCUAGGUGUGGGGGACCUCUCCGGUUCUCUGUGCCGCAGCUAACGCAUUAAGCGCCCCGCCUGGGGAGUACGG